rnacentral:misc_RNA from 1 species
UUUCCGUAGGUGAACCUGCGGAAGGAUCAUUAUUGUAUAACCGAGGUGCGAGGGCUGUCGCUGACCCGAAAGGUCGUGCACGCCCGAGUGCCCUCACACGCAUCCAUCUCACCCCUAUGUGCACCACCGCGUGGGUCCCCCUUUGGCUUGUUCGGAGGGGGGCUUACGUUUUCACACAAACUUAGUAUGCAGUGUAGAAUGUAUUUUUUGUUUUUGCGAUCACGCAAUCAAUACAACUUUCAACAACGGAUCUCUUGGCUCUC